rnacentral:lncRNA from 1 species
ACUAGAGGGGUCACACAGAGCAUCCAGGACUCCUCCAUGGUGCCCAAGUGGACAUGUGAGACGAAGGUCUCCUUGGAUGCCUCAUCACUGUGACAACCCAUUCCCACCUACAGGCUCUCAGAUGACGGGCAGAUUCUGCAUCUAUCACCGUUGGACUCAACGAAGAUGAGGCUGAGUCACAGGAAAUGGAGAAAGAAAGUUCUGCUUCUUACACAUUUGAAUUUAAGGAUGGAGAUUCGCGCUUCCUACAAGUCCAUGCAAAGGGUGGGCGCCAUGUGCGGGCCAUGGCAGGCUCUGGGGCUGCGUCCCAUGUAGGUGGGAUGCUGAGAUGGGAAUGGGACUCUCCACCGCUCCCCUGUGCACUCUCUGCAGUUCCCCUGGCCCUUGGAGUUCCCUGCACCACCAGCCCUGUCCUGUUGUCCUCCUGCCCUCUACCCACGAGCUCUUUGUGGCUUAUUCUCAUAGGACCCAGAGGUGCUGGGCUGAGCCUGGCUUAGCAGAACACCUGGCGGAUGAUCAGAUUGUUCUAUGGGCUCAGUGCCCCUGGGGUCGUGCUUUGGGGUCUAUAUUUUGCAUCUGGCGAGGGGUAUCUCCCUCUGCUUUCUGAUCACCACGUGAGCUGCUUCCCUCUGCCACACACUCUGCCAUGAUGUUCAGCCUGACCUCGAGCCCCAAGGAAUGGAGGCUGCUGUCUAUGGACUGAGACCUCUGAAACUGUGAGCCCUCAAAUAAACC